AAUGAUUUCAUUGAAGGAUACUAUGGGAUUAUCCACAUGAAGACAUCAUUCACAUGCAAUGAUAAAUUAUGCAAGGUGGAACCUGUCACUAUCACAGUUUCUGUGGAAGUCUGCAGUUGAUGUCAGGAUCUUGCAGGUUUUAAUGUUUAUGGAGUGAAUUUCCUCUACAGAGCAGAGAAGUAGCCCAAAUGUUGAUAUCAGCACUGGUACAGCAAAUUCAUUGUGGAAUAUUCUUGUGCCACAAUA